rnacentral:rRNA from 1 species
CGGGGACAGCGGCGAACGGGUGAGUAACACGUGGGUAAUCCACCCUCGGCACCGGAAUAGCCCGGGGAAACCCGGAUUAAUGCCGGAUGGCCCUUCGGCCCCUCGGGGCUGACGGAAAAGGUAGCUUAGGCCUCCGGCCGAGGACGAGCCCGCGGCGGAUUAGCUUGUUGGUGGGGUAACGGCCCACCAAGGCUCCGAUCCGUAGCUGGUCUGAGAGGACGAUCAGCCACACUGGGACUGAGACACGGCCCAG